ACUGAGCAGACUGGAUUCAAAUGGCUACAAGUGGAUAGUUGAUGAUGGAAUUUUGAAGGUCAUGCACAGCGAUAGGGUGAUAUUAAAGGGAAAGAAGAUCAAAGGAGGAUAUUAGUACCUAGCAAAAAGCCCAGUGUGAGGUGGAGUUUUAGGAGUCAGAAAAAAUCUAAUGCAAGGUGAAGCUUCAGAUAGAGGUGGAUUGAGCACG
rnacentral:lncRNA from 1 species